GCCAACGAGUGGCGGACGGGUGAGUAACACGUAGGUAACCUGCCCAGAAGCGGGGGACAACAUUUGGAAACAGAUGCUAAUACCGCAUAACARCGUUGUUCGCAUGAACAACGCUNAAAAGAUGGCUUCUCGCUAUCACUUCUGGAUGGACCUGCGGUGCAUUAGCUUGUUGGUGGGGUAAYGGCCUACCAAGGCGAUGAUGCAUAGCCGAGUUGAGAGACUGAUCGGCCACAAUGGGACUGAGACACGGCCCAUACUCCUACGGGAGGCAGCAGUAGGGAAUCUUCCACAAUGGGCGCAAGCCUGAUGGAGCAACACCGCGUGAGUGAAGAAGGGUUUCGGCUCGUAAAGCUCUGUUGUUAAAGAAGAACACGUAUGAGAGUAACUGUUCAUACGUUGACGGUAUUUAACCAGAAAGUCACGGCUAACUACGUGCCAGCAGCCGCGGUAAUACGUAGGUGGCAAGCGUUAUCCGGAUUUAUUGGGCGUAAAGAGAGUGCAKGCGGUUUUCUAAGUCUGAUGUGAAAKCCUUCGGCUUAACCGGAGAAGUGCAUCGGAAACUGGAUAACUUGAGUGCAGAAGAGGGUASUGGAACUCCAUGUGUAGCGGUGGAAUGCGUAGAUAUAUGGAAGAACACCAGUGGCGAAGGCGGCUACCUGGUCUGCAACUGACGCUGAGACUCGAAAGCAUGGGUAGCGAACAGGAUUAGAUACCCUGGUAGUCCAUGCCGUAAACGAUGAGUGCUAGGUGUUGGAGGGUUUCCGCCCUUCAGUGCCGGAGCUAACGCAUUAAGCACUCCGCCUGGGGAGUACGACCGCAAGGUUGAAACUCAAAGGAAUUGACGGGGGCCCGCACAAGCGGUGGAGCAUGUGGUUUAAUUCGAAGCUACGCGAAGAACCUUACCAGGUCUUGACAUCUUGCGCCAACCCUAGAGAUAGGGCGUUUCCUUCGGGAACGCAAUGACAGGUGGUGCAUGGUCG
rnacentral:rRNA from 1 species